rnacentral:rRNA from 1 species
CUUUACUGCAACUUGACGUUGGAACUUGGCUGUAUUUGUGUAGGAUAGGUGGGAGACUUUGAAGCAGGGCCGCCAGGUCUUGCGGAGUCGUCGUUGAAAUACCACCCUGGUGCUGACGAGUUUCUAACCGUGUCCGUAAGCCGGACAUGAGACAGCGUCUGGUGGGCAGUUUGACUGGGGCGGUCGCCUCCUAAAAGGUAACGGAGGCAUUCAAAGGUCCCCUCAGCGUGGUCGAUAAUCACGCGCAGAGUGCAAACGCAUAAGGGGGCUUAACUGCGAGACCGACAGGUCGAGCAGGUACGAAAGUAGGAAUUAAUAAUCCCGCGGUUUAGCGUGGAAUUGCCGUUGCUCAAUGGAUAAAAGGUA